UGAAAUCGGCUACCAAGGCAAGAUUGGCAGGAUGUUGGCAAAGUUGUGGCUGCAUCAGAGUUUGGGCUUUUUGUUGGUAAAGGAAAGUCAUCUCUGGGUCUCUGCCAGGGCAGAAACUGCCACUGCAGAAUGGAGGUUAAACAAUGGGCUCUGGGAGAGCAGUUACAGAUGGGAAAGAAGCAGGUGGAGCCUCGUGUUCCCUUUUUCUCCAGACUAAACACCUGAUAGCCACAGCAGGGACGCCUCAGCUGCGGCAGCCCAAGCUCCUCUCGGCUUGGCUGCGUGACUUCCUGAGCUGCUGCCUGCAGAGAGACGAGGAGCGGCGCUGGUCUGCCGACGAGCUCCUGCAGCAUCCACUGGUAUCAGCCAAGCCAGCGUCUACCCUGGCAGCACUCAUUAUUUCAGUGAAGAGGAGGAAGGUGAAGCAAACACUGUGAUAAUCACAUCAGGACCAUUUCUUCCAUAACCAGCUAAGAAUAGGACUGAAGAGUAGUUUUGUAGAGUAGGAUUGUAGAGAAGGAUUAUAGAUUAGGAUUGAAAAUAAAGCUUCUGAAACUUUAA